AUUGUUUUGGCAGAAAAGUGCAUUAAAUUUAGAAUUUACGUAUGUAUGGAAAAUACAAGCAAUA
rnacentral:tRNA from 1 species